UAAAUACCCAAAUACCUGGGAAGUAGCAGGGCAAUGCUUUCCACUUAAAAGGACGCGGUCCUUCACCCUGCCUUGGGUAGUUUUGGGCAGGGAGAAGAGUAAGCUGGAUGCAGGGGCUAAGCAAAGAGCCAGGACCAGCCAGGGCCACCCAAAAGUGUUAAGUGACAUGGACAGGAGGACUGCUUUUACUCCCCUAGUUUUGAUAGCAAAAGCUAUGUGAGCUUCUUGUCCCACGCAGCUGCCAAUGGCAGGGCUCUCUUCCCAACAGCACAGGCAGCCUGGACUUUGGACCAGAGCACCAAGUCCUUAUCUCCUUCCUCAUAGUGCCCUGCAUGCCACCAGCCACCCACACUGCAGCACCCACUGAUUCCAGGAAUCCCACUCAGGGAGGGAGUAAAAGUGAGCCCAAGCUCUGCACCAAGGAAAAACACCCUAUCUCCUCCAUGUGCAAGAGUAUUGCUUACUUGAGGUUUUAGGGGUCAGGACUUAGGAUUUGUGGUAACUGGAAGUAUAAACAAAAAGAUGACAAGCUUUAAGGGUUCAGGUGUGGCAAAGUCCAGCUGUAAUCUAACAGUUGGGAAACCAGGCACCUCUCCUGUCUCUGCAUACCCCCAAUGUCACCCAAGGCACCUCUGUACAGGACAGAAAACUGGGCUUUGGACUGCUUCCAUCAGGAACAGCUAAAACCCUGUUACAUUCCCCUAUGGGAAUGGUUUCUCCCCCCUCAGGGACCCCUAAAGCUUGUACCAUGUAGUUUGACCCUUCCUUCCCUUUCUGACCCCAUUGGCUGUGUCCCAAACUGCCCCUCCCUGGCUAGAGCUGAAAAAAGACCCUGUUCCUCUGUGCACGCUCUCUUUCCCUCUGGAGACCACCUGGAAUAUAAACAUCUUGAUCUGCAGCUGAGGGUCAGAGCCUCUUUUGGGUCCUUUUUCCUGUCUAUCAAAUAUUCCUCCAAAGCCUUAGAAGGCCUGACCUAGCUUGGAACUUCAGAGGGGUUAAAAAGGAGGAUUUAUUUCAAUUGGUACCCAACGUAUAUUUUUAUUAAUUUCUAGAAACCCACGUGUGAGCUGGAGACCCCCAAACAGGGUCUCAGAAGCUUUUGGGAAGAUCAAUUCCCCUACGGCAUUUUUGGCAACAUUCUGUAGCUAUAAGUGUGUAGGGAUAGAGCUCGUAGCUUGUGUUUUUGCCGAAUCACGAGUGAGCUUAAGACAGGACCUUCGGUUGCUCCUGGCUCAGCACCACACUCCCACAGAUCAGAGAAAACCUACCUCCCACUCAGCCCUGUGAAGAACCCCAUCCAAGUUGUCAUCCUGCUAAUGCUGAACAGUCUGGCAGCUGCAUGGAUCAUCCCUCAGCCGCGUCAGAACGUCUGGGUAACCCUGGCACAGACACUUCAGCAAGAAAACAUAUGUUUGUCCACUGCAGCAGCUAAGAACCCUAUGUCCACCUGUCUGCAACUAAACCAACCAAAACCUACCUGAACCCUCCACGAACAAGGCCCUAACUACCAGAUCUUUCCCCUGGCAGAAGAGUUGCUUCUCGCACGCACGGCCACAUCCUGCCACUCCUGAUAAGACAAUUAGCCUUAAUCCUGUUACUAUAUCCUCUGUGCACUGGAACACGGCCCAGCCGGCCUCCUCCAGCCUCCUCCGCAGCAGUGACGGUGACUCCACGGUGCCUCCUGGCUCCUGACCCUGGAGCUGUGCAGGUCCCAAGGGCUGCAAUGCUCUUGGACUAAGCUAUCUCCACUGAUUAGUUCUUAUUCAGGAAGGCAGACAUGAACAAAGGGUAUAGAUGAAAAGAGAAACGGGGAGGGCAGGGGUUUAAAUAGGAGAAAAAACAAAGAUUUUCUUCAAGGAAAGGAUCCCCUUGGCUGCUUUAGGAGGAAACUCUGAAAACCUGGUCCAAAAGCAACGUUUGAAGUCUAGCUACUUUCAUAUUUAUAACGUUUGAGUCACUCCAGAAAAUCUACGCCAAAGCAGACUGAGUUGGACUACUACAGCCAUUUAUUUUGGAAUUUUAUCCAAGCCUUGGUUAAAGAUAAACAAUGUGCCUGGAUAUGAAAGAACAUCAAAGCCAGGCUACCAGAGCAGCAGGGAGCUUCCACCCACUUUGACAGCACCAAGGCAUGAGAUGGUAUCAGUACAACCCAAAAUAUACUUAUUCCUUCCUGCAGAGGCAAUGGAAGGCCUGGGAAGUUCUUGUUUGUCCUUGGGAGGCAUUUUUGCCAUGUUAAUGUUAUGCAAAGAUUCAGCUUAGAAAUCUCAGGCACAAUCAAGGCAUUUAGACCCGACUCGCUAAUGGCCAACAGUUAAUAGGCUGGAGCUGCAAUUCCUCUCUCGGGGACUUGAGGGUGUUUAAGCCAAAUCCAUUAUAUAUAUAUUACAGCUGCACUGUUGAUCUGUUACUGAAGAAAGGAAGCACCUCUCCAUCCAAAACACUCUGAAAAACAAAAGUAAACCCAGACUUUUUCAGGUCUCCACUGAUUUCCAAAGCAAAUAAGUCCAUCAGUCUUCCUAAACCUGUUUCCUAAACUUGGGAAAGAAGUGAUCAGCAGCACAUCUUAGGACUAAGUACAUGCCCAAGGAAAAUUCUCCAUGAACCAAAAGUUUAACAGAAUAUAAUUACCUCUAAAGCAGCACCUGAAUGUCACAGUUACAAAUCAGUCUUUGGAGCUUGCAACUCUCCUUUCAAUUCAAAGUUUAAGGCAACAUCAACACACCAAAACCCAGGGUCUUUCUUGUGAAAAACUGAUCUGCAAACACAUGGUCAACAUAUUGCCAAAUUGGACACCUCAAAAGAGUGACAAUGGGAACUUUUGGGACUUCAAAUAAACAAAUCUGAACUAAUCAAUCUGGAAAGUCUGUUUUCUAUUUGUGACUUUGGGUUUGCUGUUUUAUGUUUCUUUCUUUGUCUUAGCUGUUUGUUUGCUUUCAAUUAUGCAGGCCCCUCAUCCUAACCUCUGAAUCUCCCAGUGCCGUGUUAGCCGGGAGGCAAGCAGCAAGACAUUGUAGUCAUGGAUUAUCAAAUGUGAAUUAGAGGAUGAGCCAGAAGAGGCUCCUUCUCCAAAGGCUAUUGGUUUUGCUCUCAAAUCAACUUUUUUUUGGUGCAUCCCCUCCACGACAAGGGUAUAGCACCAAUAGUUGUUCCUUCCUCUGGAGUGGGGACUAUUUGCUGUUUCACAGGUCAUCAGGAGGUAGCAAGCAAAGUUUACCAGAUGUGGCUUUUAUCACCUCAAGUGGAACUAUUUUCUUUACAGGAACCCUGGUUUUUAAGGUUUUAUCAGAUCACUGCGAUUACAAAAGCCUCAUUUACAUGCUCAAAAGCUCCUAUAAAACCUGUAGUUCAAGGUUUAUUUGUUCUAGGUGGUUUUCAACUUGGAGGAAUGACUUGCAGACACAAGUAAUUUGUCCUAUAAGCUUUGACUGACCAGUUGCAAAGUACACUUAAACUGCACCUGCCUCCUGAGAAAAAUUCCAUCAACUCACUAACCAAAAGCUGUUCUUUUAGGAAUAUUUUUUAAAAGAGAGAAAAGAAGUGAGGAAAAGGGCUUGCAGCAAAAAGGAAGUUUCAAUUACUUUGUGAAAUCAGGCAGAAAAAUUAAGAUCCAAGCAAACUUUAUGAGCUCUGACAAGCAAAUGCUGAUGCCUUUGUUUCCUAUGUGCACAAAACUUUUACUAAGGAGGGGUGUGUGUGGUUUUGGGUUUGAUUUUUCUUCUUUUUAAGCCACAGAAAUAUGCUUUUUUUUUUUUUUACAACAUGCUUUGCUACAACUGGGUUUUGUAACUAUAUUCAAACGAGGGAACUGGCACAGAGCUAUCACAAAGCAGCUGAUCCUUCUCUAAGCAUCCACCAACAUUUCCAUGUGUCAAUAGUACUUCACAACUACAUUUAUCUAUGUAAGAAACCACAUUAAUAAGCCCUUCUGCCUGCCUGCAGAGCAUGCCAAGCAGAGUAACAAUGCAGAUAACAUAAGAACUUAGAGCAGGUUAAGAGACUCCAGAAAGAAAAUACACAAAAGGCCAGAUUUUUCAAAUUACUUUGGCACCCACACAUUUUUCAAGGCAGUUUGGCUCCUAUUAAGUGUGAAAAACGUGAGAUGAUUAAUUCAUGUUCUUAUGGUAAAUUGGAAAAUUAUAAAGCUGUAUAAAUUUAUAUCAGGUAAAAGUCUAUGUUUUAGGAGGUUUCUCCAUUCAGAAGGGAACAAAAGACUUUGCAGCUUUCUCAAGUAUUGGGAGGGGACCUGUUGAGAUGAGCCGGUAUCAGCAACUCACACCUUGGGAGCCACCUUCACAGACUAUCAAGCAAUAUCACCCAUAUCUCGAACAUUCAUCAACUAUAAGGAUCCAUAGAAACUGAACAUUAACACAUGGACUUGGGAGGGGAGCUCUUUUCAAUCCGACCGGAGAUGGAUUUGGGUUUGAAUAGCAACCAAGAAACAAAGGGAAAUAUUGCCAGAGGCAGAAUAAAGAGUAUAAAAACCAAGCCUCGAACAUGGCAAAUUCGUGUACCCAGCUAGAGACACAGACGGCCAGGGUCUAUGUCUAUGGGUCACCCUUGGCUCUCUUUUUCCCGGGAGAAACUCUGUCAAGUAAGUGUUGCUGUUUGUGGGGGUUUUUUUUAUUGCUUAAAAUUCUGUAAUUUGAUUCCAAAUUUUGUGAUUUGAAUUUUUAAUAAACGAAAUUAUUGAAUUUGGUAAUAAAUUGUCCUGGCAUUUAUAACAUUAAGCAUUUCAUAUUCAGUUUGU